AGGUGUCACUCCUCCCAGGGCCUGCAGUGCUUGUAGGAGAAAGGAGAAGUAGCGCUCUGGGCUUCUUGAGUGUUGAGCCUUGGGUCUAAGUGUAGGAAUCCCCAGAGUAGGAGGUAGGUUUCAGAAGCUAAGGAAGACUGCGCUCUGUUCUGGGGAGUUCUUUUGCAAAAACAUAGAUGAGUUAACCUUUAUUUGGGAAAAGAUCUUCGGGUUCUCUUUUUUACAACUCAUUUAUUUAUUCAACCAACAAACCUUUCUGGAACUUCUGCUUAGCCACGAGGUCUCCAGCCUGUACAUGAAGAAUGGGCUAGUGAGCCUUGGACUUGUUGUCACAGGGCAACUGCCCAAUGGAGAUGCAAUGUGAACCAUGUGUGACUUUGCUUUUUCUAGUAGAUUAAAAGGAAGAAGACAUAGGACUCUGACAUGUGCCACAUCCCUAACCCUAACAGAGGGUACCUACCGAAGAUACCAGGGCAUCCUGCAGUGUAUCAGCAAUCUUCGCAGCAUCUUUACCAGGAGUAGAUCCCAUCCCAAGAAACCACUCUCCUGGCUCAUCUGUAAGAAGCAAGUGUGAAAGUUUUAUCAUGAGAUUACAACAACUCAGCCACAUCUUCAGGCUCCAGCAGUAACAUCAAAGAUCACUAAUCAAAGAUCAUCAUAAUGAGUCUGAUCAUAAUGAAAAAGUUUGAACUAUUGUGAGAAUCACCAAAAUGUAACACGGAGACAUGAAGGGAGCAAAUGCUGUGGGAAAAUGGCUCCAACAGACUUGCUCCAGGCAAGAGUGCUGCAGACCUCCAGUUUGAAGGAUGCGGUGACUGGGAAACAGGAUAAAGCAAGGUUUGCCUGGUUGGCACGGGGAGUCUCCUCUGGAAGUCUUAGGAAAGUCUGAGGCACAGGAAUGAGGCCUGGCUGCCACACUGAGGAGGGCAGCCCUUGAUUACUUAGAAUGGUUGCUUCAGUUUCUCUUUCUUUUUCCUUUUUAACUUGAAACAGCUUCCUCCCGUCUCCUCAUCUUCCCUCCCCUGCUUUCCUCCUUUCCUCCCUCCCUCCUUCUCCUUCCUUCGCCCACCCCCCCAAGCUAUUUUUAAUUUUUGGAAAAAAGUCAGCACCACGAGGUGAGGAAAACAUGAUUUUGAAAAACAGCAGAUUUAUGCAACUCUCCCCCAUAUUUGAAAAUAAGAAUUUAUAUUUUAAUCCAAUGAGCACAAUGUAUUUAGUAUAAAAACAAAUGAGAACACAAAGAAAAGUAUAAAGAA